CCUACGGGAGGCAGCAGUGAGGAAUAUUGGUCAAUGGCCGGAAGGCUGAACCAGCCAUGCCGCGUGAAGGUCAGUGCCCUAUGGGCGUUAAACUUCUUUUGUGCGGGAGCAAUAAUGGUCACGUGUGGCCAGACGAGAGUACCGUACGAAUAAGCAUCGGCUAACUCCGUGCCAGCAGCCGCGGUAAUACGGGGGAUGCAAGCGUUAUCCGGAUUUAUUGGGUUUAAAGGGUGCGUAGGCUGUGGGGUAAGUCAGCGGUGAAAUGCCCCCGCUCAACGGGGUGAAGUGCCAUUGAUACUGCCUUGCUGGAAUGCGGAUGCCGUGGGAGGAAUGUGUGGUGUAGCGGUGAAAUGCAUAGAUAUCACACAGAACACCAAUAGCGUAGGCAGGUUACUGGGACGGUUCUGACACUAAGGCACGAAAGCGUAGGGAGCAAACGGGAUUAGAUACCCGAGUAGUC
rnacentral:rRNA from 1 species